GACGAACGCUGGCGGCGUGCUUAACACAUGCAAGUCGAACGGAAAGGCCCCUUUGGGGGUACUCGAGUGGCGAACGGGUGAGUAACACGUGAGUAACCUGCCCUUGACUUCGGGAUAACUUCAGGAAACUGGGGCUAAUACCGGAUAGGAAUCCUUGCUGCAUGGUGGGGGUUGGAAAGCUUCGGCGGUUUUGGAUGGACUCGCGGCUUAUCAGCUUGUUGGUGGGGUAGUGGCUUACCAAGGCUUUGACUGGUAGCCGGCCUGAGAGGGCGACCGGCCACAUUGGGACUGAGAUACGGCCCAGACUCCUCCGGGAGGCAGCAGUGGGGAAUAUUGAACAAUGGGCGGAAGCCUGAUGCAGCAACGCCGCGUGCGGGAUGACGGCCUUCGGGUUGUAAACCGCUUUCAGCAGGGGCGAAGCUUGUGGUGACGGUACCUGCAGAAGAAGCACGGGCUAACUACGUG
rnacentral:rRNA from 1 species